rnacentral:rRNA from 1 species
AACGCGAAGAACCUUACCCGGGCUUGAACUACGGAUGGUAAGUCCCUAGAAACAGGGGCUGACCCGCAAGGGAGUCCGCAGAGGUGCUGCAUGGUUGUCGUCAGCUCGUGUCGUGAGAUGUUGGGUUAAGUCCCGCAACGAGCGCAACCCCUACUCGAUGUUGCUAAUCCCGCAAGGGAUGCACUCUUCGAGAACUGCCUUCGAUAAGAAGGAGGAAGGUGGGGACGACGUCAAAUCCUCAUGGCCCUUAUGUCCGGGGCUACACACGUGUUACAAUGGCCGGUACAAUGGGAAGCAAUGCCGCAAGGUGGAGCCAAACCCACAAAGCCGGCCCCAGUUCAGAUCGUGGGCUGAAACCCGCCCACGUGAAGGCGGAAUCGCUAGUAAUCGCUGAUCAGCAGGCAGCGGUGAAUACGUUCCCGGGCCUUGUA